rnacentral:rRNA from 1 species
GGGAUAGCCCAGGGAAACCUGGAUUAAUACCGGAUGAGACGGGACCCGCGAUGGCGGGACCCGGGAAAGGCGCUGCGGCGCCGCCGGGGGAUGAGUCUGCGUCCCAUUAGCUAGACGGCGGGGUAACGGCCCACCGUGGCGACGAUGGGUAGCCGGCCUGAGAGGGUGGACGGCCACAUUGGAACUGAGACACGGUCCAGACUCCUACGGGAGGCAGCAGCUAAGAAUCUUCCGCAAUGGGCGAAAGCCUGACGGAGCCGACGCCGCGUGAACGAAGAAGGCCGUGAGGUUGUAAAGUUCUUUUCGGGAGGGGAACAACCGUGGCAGGGAAUGGCCGCGGGAUGACGUGAAUCCCGGAAUAAGCCCCGGCUAACUACGUGCCAGCCGCUGC